CGGGCGACGCGCCGGUCUAAGUCCCUUGGAACGGGGCGUCACAGAGGGUGAGAAUCCCGUACGUGACCGGCGACCGAGCCCGUGUGAAACCCCUUCGACGAGUCGAGUUGUUUGGGAAUGCAGCUCAAAUUGGGUGGUAAAUUUCAUCUAAAGCUAAAUACCGGCCAGAGACCGAUAGCGCACAAGUAGAGUGAUCGAAAGAUGAAAAGCACUUUGGAAAGAGAGUCAAAAAGUACGUGAAAUUGUUGAAAGGGAAGCGCUUGCGACCAGACCUGCCCGCGGGUGCUCAGCCGUCCUUCUGGGCGGUGCACUCGCCCGCGAUCAGGCCAGCAUCGGUUCGGGCGGUCGGAUAAAGGCCCUGGGAACGUAGCUCCUCUCGGGGAGUGUUAUAGCCCUCGGUGCAAUGCGGCCCGCCCGGACCGAGGACCGCGCUUCGGCUAGGAUGCUGGCGUAAUGGUUGUAAGCGGCCCGUCUUGAAACACGGACCAAGGAGUCGACCAGCUGUGCGAGUGUUUGGGCGUCAAACCCACACGCGCAAUGAAAGUGAACGGAGGUGGGAACCCUUCGCGGGGCGCACCAUCGACCGAUCCAGAUGUCUUCGGAUGGAUUUGAGUACGAGCAUAGCUGGUCGGACCCGAAAGAUGGUGAACUAUGCCUGAAUAGGGUGAAGCCAGAGGAAACUCUGGUGGAGGCUCGCAGCGGUUCUGACGUGCAAAUCGAUCGUCAAAUUUUGGCAUAGGGGCGAAAGACCAAUCGAACCUUC
rnacentral:rRNA from 1 species